GAUUAUGGCUCAGGAUGAACGCUAGCUACAGGCUUAACACAUGCAAGUCGAGGGGCAGCAUUGGGAUAGCUUGCUAUUCAGAUGGCGACCGGCGCACGGGUGAGUAACGCGUAUCCAACCUUCCUGCCAGUAGGGAACAGCCCGGCGAAAGUCGGAUUAAUGCCCUAUGUUCUUCAAUGCGGACAUCUAAGUUGAAGGAAAGAUUCAUCGCUGGCAGAUGGGGAUGCGUCCGAUUAGCUUGCCGGCGGGGUAACGGCCCACCGGGGCGACGAUCGGUAGGGGUUCUGAGAGGAAGGUCCCCCACACUGGUACUGAGACACGGACCAGACUCCUACGGGAGGCAGCAGUGAGGAAUAUUGGUCAAUGGGCGUAAGCCUGAACCAGCCAAGUAGCGUGCAAGGAUGACGGCCCUACGGGUUGUAAACUGUCUUUUAUGCGGGGAUAAAGUGCGGCACGUGUGCCGCUUUGCAGGUACCGCAUGAAUAAGGACCGGCUAAUUCCGUGCCAGCCGCCGC
rnacentral:rRNA from 1 species